rnacentral:rRNA from 1 species
GACAGAGGGUGCAAACGUUGUUCGGAAUUACUGGGCGUAAAGCGAGUGUAGGCGGUUUGAUAAGUCGGAUGUGAAAGCCCCGGGCUCAACCCGGGAAGUGCACUCGAUACUGUCGGGCUCGAGUCCGGAAGAGGCGAGUGGAAUUCCUGGUGUAGCGGUGAAAUGCGCAGAUAUCAGGAGGAACACCAAUGGCGAAGGCAGCUCGCUGGGACGUGACUGACGCUGAGACGCGAAAGCGUGGGGAGCAAACAGG